rnacentral:rRNA from 1 species
UACGUAGGCAGCGAGCGUUGUUCGGAGUUACUGGGCGUAAAGGGUGUGUAGGCGGUUGUUUAAGUUUGGUGUGAAAUCUCCCGGCUCAACUGGGAGGGUGCGCCGAAUACUGAAUGACUUCGAGUGCGGGAGAGGAGAGUGGAAUUCCUGGUGUAGCGGUGAAAUGCGUAGAUAUCGAGAGGAACACCUGCGGCGAAGGCGGGUUGCUGGGCCGACACUGACGCUGAUGCGCGAAAGCCAGGGGAGCGAACGGG